UUUAUUGAUCCACAACGAAUGAGAAAAGGACAGAAUGGUGCUACCGACAGCAAUUUCAUUUGUUUGUGGUGUAAUACUAAGAUUAGCAUUGUUUAGAUCAUCCCUUCCCGACUGGUUGAGUACGAAAACAGAGGUGGUCACGCCGUUAACAUCAUGGGGUCGUGCAAUGGAAGGGCUGGCAUUACAUAGAGAGGGUAUUUCUCCUUACUCUGGAGAUAUUUUUCAUGAGAGUCCUUUGAUGCUGAAAAUCCUGGGAUUCAUCAGUAGAUUCUCACCGAAUACCAUCAAUUUAAUAUUUGUGCUGCUGGAUAUCAUUCAGGGAAUGAUUCUGCUGAGAAUAGCAAAUACAUUUGGAAGACAUAUGCUCCUGAGGCAAGCAACAAGUGUGAAGAAUUACCAUCCAGAUGCCAAGAAAAAUUUACUUCGAAAAGAAGACUUGAUGGACCUUCAAUUUUACGUCACUGUAGCGUUUUCCUUCAAUCCCUACAGCAUAGCCACGUGUCUAGCAAGGUCCACUGCUGUUUUCAAUAACAUCAUCCUACUCCUCGCUCUCUAUCAAAUGCUUAAAGGAAAUUCAUUCUUAUCAGCAGUUUUCGUUGCGCUGGCAGCCUACAUUUCUAUGUAUCCCAUCAUUCUCUGUGUGCCUGUGGCAGUUCAUUAUUUCCUGAUGUCACGUAAAGGGGGAAUGCAUUAUACCGACCCAACAGCUGUGGUUAGCUACCUCCAGAUUCUGGGCGUCACAUUUGUGUCUCUAGCCAUCAUGUUGCUCUUCUCCAUGCUGUUUGUGGGAUCAUGGGAAUUUAUUCCUUCCACAUAUGGUUUCAUAUUGGGAGUGCCUGACUUGACCCCUAACCUUGGCUUGUUUUGGUAUUUCUUCACCGAGAUGUUUGAGCACUUUAGAACGUUCUUCAUUUGUGUGUUUCAAAUCAAUGUUGUGAUAUAUACCAUUCCACUGGCCAUAAGACUCAGAGAACACCCAACAUUCCUUUUCUACAUGCUGUUGUACACGAUUGGAAUCUUCAAAUCCUACCCAGGCUAUGGGGAUGUGGGUCUAAUGUUUGCCUUGCUACCUCUGUGGAAGCAUGUUUAUCAGUGUAAGGCAUCUUCAUUUUUUGUUUGUAGUGAUUUAAGCUUAGGAACAGAUUUAUAAAUUACUGAACAAGUCUUGUUCUUUAUUUACAGACAUGAGGAAUACGUUUGUUACCGUGUGCAUGUUCCUAGUAUGUACCGUGUUCGCUCCUAUACAGUAUUAUCUGUGGAUCUAUGCAGGCAGUGCCAAUGCCAACUUCUACUUUGCUAUCUCUCUGGCAUUCUCUACAGCACAGAUACUGAUGGCUACUGAUUUGCUUUUUGGAUUUCUGAAGAGAGAGUUUUACCUUCAUAAUGGGGACAAACACAAACUGCCGGAUGGGACAGAUGCUCAAAUCAUCUUGGACUCUUAACUUGGGGUUUAAAUAUAGACUUCACAAGGAACAACCCAUAGAGCUAAAUUGUGCAAUUUUAUUUAAUGUUUACUAGGAUUCUUUUUUGUUUCAUGGAGAGAGAGAGAGAGAGAGAGAGAGAGAGAGAGAGAGAGAGAGAGAAUUUAUCACAACUAUGAAUGUACAUUUAUUUCAAUCUCACUGAUUUUUUAUACAAGUACAUAUAGUUGAUGUUGACGGAAAACACUUUUUGUACUUCUAGAAGACACAGUUUAUAAUUUACAAAUAAAACUGUGAUUUUG
rnacentral:misc_RNA from 1 species